rnacentral:misc_RNA from 1 species
GGAAGGAUCAUUAACGUAAUGUAUAGAGUGGCGCGUCCAAAGGCCCUUGGGUCUGCGGAUUGUGUACUCUUACACGACGGUAUAUAACCCUUUACAAGUCGAGUCGCAGUAGAAGACUCGCACCUCGGUGGUUGGAGCGUUGUGACCGGCCGCCGCUUUGCGGUGUGUUACCGGUCGACCGACCUAUCGUUGUAAUCAAACACUGGAGUUUGACAUGAUAUCCGUUGCGGCGUCUAGCAUGAACGUUUGCGCGGUCCAUCACGUCAAGCUUCACGGGAUACCUAAAGUCUGGCAAAUCCGAUAGGUCGUGCGUGUUCAUGCAAAUCGACCGUGUUGGAGGCGUGAGAUGAGAGCCGCAGCGCUCGAGGGUGUAAAGCAGCUGCAGCGAGCGUCGCUGCCGAGCGCAUCGGUCCUUGUGAUCGUGCCUCGUAAUGGCCAUCCCGCUGUAUUCGCUGUGCGAUCCGCAGCAUCGCACCGAGUACGUUACUCUGUCCAUGAUGGUAUUUAAAAAUUAGCAGUGUCUGCAGUCGGCUUCGGCCUUCCAGCACACACACGCUAAAGUGAUAAACCUUAUGAAUCACUCUGUGCGGUGGAUCAUUCGGCUCGUGGGUCGAUGAAGAACGCAGCAAAAUGCGAGACGUAACGUGAAUUGCAGGACUUUGCGAACGUUAAUUCUUCGAACGCACAUUGCGGCUUUGGGUUGACUGAAGCCACGCCUGGUUGAGGGUCAGUUGAAUAAACCAUCACGGUUCAUGUGUGUAACCGUGGAUUGUCCGGAUAACGCUCCUUCACUGGAGCGUUAGCGGAUCAAGUCUAGUCCGGAUGUGGCUGGAGGUGAGCGUUGGACUUGGACCGAAGCUUACGGGCUUUGGCGCGGUUGGGACGUUCGGCUUCUCGUGCACAUGCACCGCUGUUGCAUGCUCGAGAGUGUCAUCCAACGCAGCGUCAGAGUCUUUCGGUUUAGCAGCAGAGUCUAUGCUUUUCUUUCGGCGUGCUUUUUCACAUUCGCGUGUUAGAAUUCGGUGUGUGGACCCCGUCGCGGUCGCCAACGAAAAAUCUUUACUCAUUCUUUUGACCUCAGCUCAGACGAGAUUACCCGCUGAACUUAAGCAUAUUACUAAGCGGAGGAAAAGAAACCAACGGGGAUUCCCAUAGUAACUGCGAGUGAAAGGGGAAAAGCCCAGCGCCGAAUCCUGCCGCUGGAGACGGUGGCAGGAACUGUGGCGUGAAGAUGGUAUGUACCGGUGUGGCUCGCUCGCGUAAGUUCUCCUGAGUGAGGCUCCAUCCCAUGGAGGGUGCAAGGCCCGUGUCGUGAGCAGCCGUCGCCGGUGUGUGCUAUCAGAGAGUCGCCUUGUUUGCGAGUACAAGGUGAAGUCGGUGGUAAACUCCAUCGAAGGCUAAAUAUGACCACGAGUCCGAUAGCGAACAAGUACCGUGAGGGAAAAUUGAAAAGCACUUUGAAGAGAGAGCGAAACAGUGCGUGAAACCGCUCAGAGGCAAGCAGAUGGGGCCUCGAAGGCAGAGCCGCGAAUUCAGCCGGUGGUCCGUGCGGUGUGUCGGGAUGGGAGAUCGCAAGACUCUGCCUGGCUCACUGGUGCGGCUGCCGGUGCACUUUCGCGGCUUGUACGCCACCGCCGUUAAGGAGCGUCCACCGGGCCUGCGUGUGGAGCCUAGCUGUCUUCGGGCAGUUGGUGUCUCACUGCGGGUCUGUGUGCGAUCGCGCUUUAACCGGUCAUGUCAGCAUGUGUCAGCGUUUGCGCUGGGUCAGCCGGCUCCGGUUGGGCUGUAUGGGGAUGACGAGCUUGCUCGGCUCUCCUGCACCUGAUGGACUCUUGCGGGCUUUCAGCGUGGCACAUUGUGGAUUCGGUGGCGAGUAGACGGCUGCCCAUCUAACCCGUCUUGAAACACGGACCAAGGAGUUCAACAUGCGCGCCAGUCGUUGGGACUAGAAGCCCGCUGGCAAAGUGAAAGCAAGUCACAGUGUCACGCUGUGUAUUGGCGAGAUCCCGUCACCGUGGGUGUAAAAGCCUGCGGCCGGGCGCAUCGCCGGCCCAUCAUAAGCUCACGUGGCUGUGGUGGAGCUUGAGCGUGCACGUUGAGACCCGAAAGAUGGUGAACUAUGCCUGGGCAGGAUGAAGCCAGGGGAAACUCUGGUGGAGGUCCGUAGCGAUUCUGACGUGCAAAUCGAUCGUCUGACCUGGGUAUAGGGGCGAAAGACUAAUCGAACCAUCUAGUAGCUGGUUCCCUC